UCUGCAACCUCUAAAAUGCCUUAAGAGCUUCAAGAAAAGGUGUAAUCCAUUCUCUCCAAGAAGAAUAAGACUCCAAUAUUGUAACAAAAGAAGUAUCAGUUUAAAGGAGGGUAAUCCGCAACCUCUAAAAUGCUAGUACACUUCCAAGCAGAGGGGUAAUCCGUAUUCUAACGAGGAAGAAACUAACUCUAAUAUCUGAGGUGAGUGAAGUCUUGACAAACUGUCAU
rnacentral:lncRNA from 1 species